CUGUUUCUUUGUGAUCUCUUCUGACUUCAUCUGGUUGUAUCUUGGGGAUCAGGCGAGGUCGGGGUCCGCCCGAGAUCAGUUCUUCGGCCUACUUGGAGUUGCUCUUUGUUACAAACUGUCUUUUGUAACUGGUUCUUUGUGUGACAAAUUGCCCUGUUCCCCUGGCUUAUGGAGAAGCCUUAUUGCCAGCCUCCUGCCUCAUGACUAUG